rnacentral:rRNA from 1 species
ACUGAAUAGAUACCCGGGUAGUCCACGCUGUAAACGAUGAUUACUCGAUGUUGGCGAUACACAGUCAGCGUCUGAGCGAAAGCAAUAAGUAAUCCACCUGGGGAGUACGAUCGCAAGAUUGAAACUCAAAGGAAUUGACGGGGGCCCGCACAAGCGGAGGAGCAUGUGGUUUAAUUCGAUGAUACGCGAGGAACCUUACCUGGGCUCGAACGUAAGAUGACUGUAGGUGAAAGCUUACAUCUCUUCGGAGCAUUUUACGAGGUGCUGCAUGGUUGUCGUCAGCUCGUGCCGUGAGGUGUCGGGUUAAGUCCCAUAACGAGCGCAACCCCUACCUUUAGUUGCCAACAGGUCAUGCUGGGGACUCUAAAGGAACUGCCUACGCAAGUAGUGAGGAAGGCGGGGAUGACGUCAAAUCAGCACGGCCCUUACGUCCAGGGCUACACACGUGCUACAAUGGCCGAUACAGAGGCAGCUACCUGGUGACAGGAUGCAAAUCUCCAAAGUCGGUCUCAGUUCGGA